GGAGAGGUACUCAAGUGGCUGAAGAGUCCGCACUCGAAAUGCGGUAGGUCAGGAAACUGGCGCGGGGGUUCAAAUCCCCCUCUCUCCG
rnacentral:tRNA from 1 species